rnacentral:lncRNA from 1 species
UGUGUAAAGUUCUCUGUGCCAUUUAAAAAAGGAAGCUGCAGAACAAAUUAAAGAAACGGAUGCAAACAGAGGUCGAGACUUUCCCAGACUCUCAGCACUGAACAGGAUUCAAAUUCAGGUCUUUCUGACUAGAGGCCAGCACUUUAUCCACCCUGCCCUCCAGUUGCCUUUGCUUAAAAAGCAAGUCCAAAUUAUUUCAGCCCAAGAAUAAUGAAAAAUCAAGCAUUGGUAAUACUUUUUGUGUCAUGGACUGGUGAUGCCUCUGUAUACUUCUGAAAUAAUGUUUUUAACUGCAUAAAAUAAAAC